rnacentral:rRNA from 1 species
GACAGAGGAGCCAAGCGUUGUCCGGACUGACUGGGCGUAAAGCGCCCGCAGGCGGCCGUGCACGUGGGGUGUGAAAGCGCUCGGCUUAACUGAGCGAGGCCAUCCCAUACGGCGCGGCUCGAGCCGUCCAGAGGCCGGUGGAAUUGCCGGUGUAGUGGUGAAAUGCGUAGAGAUCGGCAGGAACACCCAGGGGGAAACCAGCCGGCUGGGGACCGUGCUGACGCUGCAGGG